GACGAACGCUGGCGGCGUGCCUAAUACAUGCAAGUCGAACGCUGAAGGAGGAGCUUGCUCUUCUGGAUGAGUUGCGAACGGGUGAGUAACGCGUAGGUAACCUGCCUGGUAGCGGGGGAUAACUAUUGGAAACGAUAGCUAAUACCGCAUAACAGUAGAUGUUGCAUGACAUUUACUUAAAAGGUGCAAUUGCAUCACUACCAGAUGGACCUGCGUUGUAUUAGCUAGUUGGUGGGGUAACGGCUCACCAAGGCGACGAUACAUAGCCGACCUGAGAGGGUGAUCGGCCGCACUGGGACUGAGACACGGCCCAGACUCCUACGGGAGGCAGCAGUAGGGAAUCUUCGGCAAUGGACGGAAGUCUGACCGAGCAACGCCGCGUGAGUGAAGAAGGUUUUCGGAUCGUAAAGCUCUGUUGUAAGAGAAGAACGAGUGUGAGAGUGGAAAGUUCACACUGUGACGGUAGCUGACCAGAAAGGGACGGCUAACUACGUG
rnacentral:rRNA from 1 species